CAUCCUCCAAGGCUAAAUACUCCUGACUGACCGAUAGUGAACCAGUACCGUGAGGGAAAGGCGAAAAGAACCCCGGCGAGGGGAGUGAAAAAGAACCUGAAACCGUGUACGUACAAGCAGUGGGAGCCCCACCACUAAGCCAGUGGUGAACUCCACAUACGCAUCCUUUGCUGAGGAUACGGUUAACGGAGCGAAAGCGACGUUCAACCGCAAAAGAAGCAGAGGGGGCUUAGUGGUGGGGUGACUGCGUACCUUUUGUAUAAUGGGUCAGCGACUUAUAUUCUGUAGCAAGGUUAACCGAAUAGGGGAGCCGGAGGGAAACCGAGUCUUAACCGGGCGUUAAGUUGCAGGGUAUAGACCCGAAACC
rnacentral:rRNA from 4 species